GUGAGGAAUAUUGGACAAUGGAUGGAAAUCUGAUCCAGCCAUGCCGCGUGCAGGAAGACGGCCCUAUGGGUUGUAAACUGCUUUUAUACGGGAGCAAUAAGGUCUAUGCAUAGAUUGAUGAGAGUACCGUAUGAAUAAGCAUCGGCUAACUCCGUGCCAGCAGCCGCGGUAAUACGGAGGAUGCGAGCGUUAUCCGGAUUUAUUGGGUUUAAAGGGUGCGUAGGCGGCUUUGUAAGUCAGCGGUGAAAUUUUGCAGCUUAACUGUAAAAGCGCCGUUGAUACUGUGAAGCUAGGAUUUGGUUGCUGUGGGCGGAAUGUGUGGUGUAGCGGUGAAAUGCAUAGAGAUCACACAGAAUAUCGAUUGCGAAGGCAGCUCACAAAGCCAAUAUUGACGCUGAGGCACGAAAGUGUGGGGAUCAAACAGGAUUAGAAACCCGGGUAGUCC
rnacentral:rRNA from 1 species